rnacentral:rRNA from 1 species
UACGUAGGGACCGAGCGUUGUCCGGAUUCAUUGGGCGUAAAGAGCGUGUAGGCGGUCCGGUAAGUCCGCUGUGAAAGUCGGGGGCUCAACCCUCGAAUGCCGGUGGAUACUGUCGGGCUAGAGUGCGGAAGAGGCGAGUGGAAUUCCUGGUGUAGCGGUGAAAUGCGCAGAUUUCAGGAGGAACACCUAUUGCGAAGGCAGCUCGCUGGGACGUAACUGACGCUGAGACGCGAAAGCGUGGGGAGCAAACAGG